CAAAAUAAUCAGUAAGUGGGAAGAUAAAAUCACUUACUCCGCCAAAAUUUAGUGAAAAUUUUCAGAUCUUACUCCAAAAAACCUUUUAUGUGCCAAAAUCAAUUCAUUAAAAAAUAAAUAAAAAGGUGUUUAGAGAAGAGAAAAAAACUUUCAUGAGCUAGAUCCUCUUCUCCUCCAUAUACCCUUUGUCGUCUCUGAUCUUUUUCUUCUUCUCCACUGUGUCCCUUAACUCUUUCGAUCCAUCUUCUUUGUUCUCUCACUGUGUCGUCCCCUCUCUCUCCCUUUAUGUCAUUUUUUUUUGUCUAAGAGCUUCACGGUCAUUUGCACACCAUGUGUUUGAUGAAAUUACUGUGAUGGUGUGUGAUUGGAUAUUGAAAGGGAUCUAUCUUAAACAACAUUUUUGUUCUUCGUCGCUCUUGUUAUCUGUCGCUCUCACACAAUCGCGAUUUGCAAAAUUUGUUGGAGAUAGAGAUCCAAACUUUUGUUUGGAGAUAGGAAAAGACGAGGAGGCAAUUCACGCCCUUUCACACAUUCUCUGCUGAUUUGUAUCUUCUCCGCUGUUUGGAGAUAGAGAAGCUUCUCUUUUCUUGUAAUCACGAGACAGGUUUUCGCAUUGAGAGAUGGGUGAUAGUGAAGGAACCAUCAAGGAAAGAAGGCUUUGUUUCAAAAUCUCAUACAUACUAAUGGAAUUGAAGGUUUGGAGAUUGGAUAUCAAGGCUAGAACCAAGUGUUCAAGCUUCUAAGAGGAAACUCACGAGGAUGAAAGCCAUGUGUGAAUAAGUCUACUGGAGGUAUUACAUAGCUUUCCUACUUUCUUAAUAAGUAAAAGCGAUGGAGGAUGAGGAUGGUGUGGCUAGAGCCGUGAAGAUCCGGUUGUUGGUGUUAUGGAGUUCAACGCAAGAUCUAGUUGGUGGCACUUAGGAUGUUAGUUUUAUUUUAUUUCAAUACUUGGCUGCACUUAGGAUGUUAGUUAUAUUUUAUUUCAAUACUUGGCUGCACUUAAGAUAUUAGUAUAAGACUUGGUAUGAUCUUA